AACGAACGCUGGCGGCAGGCCUAACACAUGCAAGUCGAACGUGAAGCCACCUUCGGGUGGUGGAAAGUGGCAGACGGGUGAGUAACGCGUGGGAAUCUACCCAAUGGUACGGAAUAACUCAGGGAAACUUGUGCUAAUACCGGAUACGCUCGUAAGAGGAAAGAUUUAUCGCUGAAAGAUCGGCCCGCGUUGGAUUAGCUAGUUGGUGGGGUAAAGCCUACCAAGGCGACGAUCCAUAGCUGGUCUGAGAGGAUGAUCAGCCACACUGGGACUGAGACACGGCCCAGACUCCUACGGGUGGCUG
rnacentral:rRNA from 1 species